rnacentral:rRNA from 1 species
GUAGGGGGCAAGCGUUGUCCGGAAUUAUUGGGCGUAAAGCGCGCGCAGGCGGUCAUGUAAGUCUGGUGUUUAAUCCCGGGGCUCAACCCCGGAUCGCACUGGAAACUGUGUGACUUGAGUGCAGAAGAGGAGAGUGGAAUUCCACGUGUAGCGGUGAAAUGCGUAGAGAUGUGGAGGAACACCAGUGGCGAAGGCGACUCUCUGGGCUGUAACUGACGCUGAGGCGCGAAAGCGUGGGGGGGAGCAAACAGGAUUAGAUACCCUGGUAGUCCACGCCGUAAACGAUGAGUGCUAGGUGUUAGGGGUCUCGAUGCCCUUGGUGCCGAAGUUAACACAUUAAGCACUCCGCCUGGGAGUACGGUCGCAAGACUG